rnacentral:rRNA from 1 species
CACUCCUACGGGAGGCAGCAGUGGGGAAUAUUGGACAAUGGGCGCAAGCCUGAUCCAGCCAUGUCGCGUGAGUGAUGAAGGCCCUAGGGUUGUAAAGCUCUUUCACCGGUGAAGAUAAUGACGGUAACCGGAGAAGAAGCCCCGGCUAACUUCGUGCCAGCAGCCGCGGUAAUACGAAGGGGGCUAGCGUUGUUCGGAUUUACUGGGCGUAAAGCGCACGUAGGCGGACUAUUAAGUCAGGGGUGAAAUCCCGGGGCUCAACCCCGGAACUGCCUUUGAUACUGGUAGUCUUGAGUUCGAGAGAGGUGAGUGGAAUUCCGAGUGUAGAGGUGAAAUUCGUAGAUAUUCGGAGGAACACCAGUGGCGAAGGCGGCUCACUGGCUCGAUACUGACGCUGAGGUGCGAAAGCGUGGGGAGCAAACAGGAUUAGAUACCCGUGUAGUCCCAUGA